rnacentral:rRNA from 1 species
CUUAACACAUGCAAGUCGAGGGGCAGCAUGGUCUUAGCUUGCUAAGGCCGAUGGCGACCGGCGCACGGGUGAGUAACACGUAUCCAACCUGCCGUCUACUCUUGGACAGCCUUCUGAAAGGAAGAUUAAUACAAGAUGGCAUCAUGAGUCCGCAUGUUCACAUGAUUAAAGGUAUUCCGGUAGACGAUGGGGAUGCGUUCCAUUAGAUAGUAGGCGGGGUAACGGCCCACCUAGUCUUCGAUGGAUAGGGGUUCUGAGAGGAAGGUCCCCCACAUUGGAACUGAGACACGGUCCAAACUCCUACGGGAGGCAGCAGUGAGGAAUAUUGGUCAAUGGGCGAGAGCCUGAACCAGCCAAGUAGCGUGAAGGAUGACUGCCCUAUGGGUUGUAAACUUCUUUUAUAAAGGAAUAAAGUCGGGUAUGGAUACCCGUUUGCAUGUACUUUAUGAAUAAGGAUCGGCUAACCCCGUGCCAGCAGCCGCGGUAAUACGGAGGAUCCGAGCGUUAUCCGGAUUUAUUGGGUUUAAAGGGAGCGUAGAUGGAUGUUUAAGUCAGUUGUGAAAGUUUGCGGCUCAACCGUAAAAUUGCAAUUGAUACUGGAUAUCUUGAGUGCAGUUGAGGCAGGCGGAAUUCGUGGUGUAGCGGUGAAAUGCUUAGAUAUCACGAAGAACUCCGAUUGCGAAGGCAGCCUGCUAAGCUGCAACUGACAUUGAGGCUCGAAAGUGUGGGUAUCAAACAGGAUUAGAUACCCUGGUAGUCCACACGGUAAACGAUGAAUACUCGCUGUUUGCGAUAUACUGCAAGCGGCCAAGCGAAAGCGUUAAGUAUUCCACGUGGGGAGUACGCCGGCAACGGUGAAACUCAAAGGAAUUGACGGGGGCCCGCACAAGCGGAGGAACAUGUGGUUUAAUUCGAUGAUACGCGAGGAACCUUACCCGGGCUUAAAUUGCAGAUGAAUUACGGUGAAAGCUGUAAGCCGCAAGGCAUCCGUGAAGGUGCUGCAUGGUUGUUGUCAGCUCGUGCCGUGAGGUGUCGGCUUAAGUGCCAUAACGGGCGCAACCCUUGUUGUCAGUUACUAACAGGUUCCGGUGAGGACUCUGACAAGACUGCCAUCGUAAGAUGUGAGGAAGGUGGGGAUGACGUCAAAUCAGCACGGCCCUUAUGUCCGGGGCUACACACGUGUUACAAUGGGGGGUACAGAGGGUCGCUACCACGCGAGUGGAUGCCAAUCCCCAAAACCUCUCUCAGUUCGGACUGGAGUCUGCAACCCGACUCCACGAAGCUGGAUUCGCUAGUAAUCGCGCAUCAGCCACGGCGCGGUGAAUACGUUCCCGGGCCUUGUACACACCGCCCGUCAAGCCAUGGGAGCCGGGGGUACCUGAAGUGCGUAACCGCGAGGAGCGCCCUAGGGUAAAACUGGUGACUGGGGC